rnacentral:rRNA from 1 species
AUACGGAGGGUGCAAGCGUUGUUCGGAAUCACUGGGCGUAAAGGGCGCGCAGGCGGUUUGGUAAGUCAGAUGUGAAAGCCCACGGCUCAACCGUGGAAGUGCAUUUGAAACUGUCAGACUUGAGUACUAGAGGGGAAAGUGGAAUUCCCGGUGUAGAGGUGAAAUUCGUAGAUAUAGGGAGGAAUACCGGUGGCGAAGGCGACUUUCUGGCUAGAUACUGACGCUGAGGCGCGAAAGCGUGGGGAGCAAACAGGAUUAGAAACCCCAGUAGUCC